GAUUAACGCUGGCGGCGUGCCUAACACAUGCAAGUCGAGCGGCAGCGAGUUUUACACUGAAUUCUGGAAGCUUCUAGUUGAAAGAGAAGAUUUAUUCAAGAAUUUUGUGUAAAAUGUCGGCGAGCGGCGGACGGCUGAGUAACGCGUGGGAACGUACCCCAAAGUGAGGGAUAACGCAUCGAAAGGUGUGCUAAUACCGCAUAUGGUCUUCGGAUUAAAGCCUUCGGGCGCUUUGGGAACGGCCUGCGUAAGAUUAGAUAGUUGGUGGGGUAAUGGCCUACCAAGUCGACGAUCUUUAACUGGUUUGAGAGGAUGAUCAGUCAGACUGGAACUGAGACACGGUCCAGACUCCUACGGGAGGCAGCAGUGAGGAAUCUUCCACAAUGGGCGAAAGCCUGAUGGAGCAACGCCGCGUGCAAGAUGAAAGCCUUCGGGUUGUAAACUGCUUUUAUAAGUGAGGAUUAUGACAGUAACUUAUGAAUAAAGAUCGGCUAACUACGUGCCCAGCAGCCGCGGGCAUACGUAGGAUCCGAGCGUUAUCCGGAGUGACUGGGCGUAAAGAGUUGCGUAAGUGGUUCAAUAAGCGAAUAGUGAAAGCUGGUGGCUCAACCAUUCAGAUUAUUAUUCGAACUGUUGAACUCGAGAGCAGAAGAGGUAGCUGGAAUUUCUAGUGUAGGAGUGAAAUCCGUAGAUAUUAGAAGGAACACCGAUGGCGUAGGCAGGCUACUGGGCUGUUUCUGACACUGAGGCACGAAAGCGUGGGGAGCGAACCGGAUUAGAUACCCGGGUAGUCCACGCCGUAAACGAUGGAUACUAGCUGUUUGGGGUAUCGACCCCCUGAGUAGCGAAGCUAACGCGUUAAGUAUCCCGCCUGUGGAGUACGAUCGCAAGAUUAAAACAUAAAGGAAUUGACGGGGACCCGCACAAGCGGUGGAUCAUGUUCUUUAAUUCGAUGAUAACCGAUAAACCUUACCAGGUCUUGACAUCCUUGGAAUCUUUCAGAAAUGAGAGAGUGCUUUUUAAGAGCCAAGUGACAGGUGAUGCAUGGCCGUCGUCAGCUCGUGUCGUGAGAUGUUUGGUUAAGUCCAUCAACGAGCGCAACCCUUGUCAGUAGUUGUAUUUUUCUACUGAGACUGCCCCGGUAACGGGGAGGAAGGAGGGGAUGACGUCAGGUCAGUAUUUCCCUUACGUCCUGGGCUAGAAACGUGAUACAAUGGCUAGUACAAUGCGCAGCGAAGCCGCGAGGUGAAGCAAAUCGCAUCAAAGCUAGUCCCAGUUCGGAUUGUAGGCUGAAACUCGCCUGCAUGAAGUCGGAAUCGCUAGUAAUCGCAGAUCAGCAUGCUGCGGUGAAUACGUUCCCGGGUCU
rnacentral:rRNA from 1 species